UUUAAAUAAAAAAUGAAAUGCAUUUAACUUAUUUGUUUGGUUGUAGAUAAAAAAGGGCAAAGGAGUGUUGCCUGGACGUAAAGAGAUUUACAUUGAUACCCACACUCGUAAAGAUGGAACAAUUGUCAAUGAAAAGGCUGCAAGAUUGAUUGUUCCUGAUGCUACUAGUGCUCAAAACCAUUUGAAUUCACUUAGUCCAAACAACAACGAAAAUAAUGAAAAUGGUGAAGAUUAAAAGCUAAUUUGUUGUUGAAGAUGGAAUAUUGGCAAUUUAGUGGACUCUAUUUCUUAAUAUUUUUUGAGAUUGUUAUGUAUGACACAAGAUGUCUAUUUUAAAUGUCUAUUUUUUGAGGUUAAGGGUUUUGUUUUAUCGUUGUAAGACUUUUAUAUUAAUUUUUAA